rnacentral:lncRNA from 1 species
GUCGGUAUUAGGUGAUGAUGGAGAUGGGGACAGAGGUGAGCCAGAGUGGGGAGGAGUGAAGGGAGCCAAAGCAGACAUUCACAGCCUAAGCUUCCAUCCUCGUGGAGAGGGAAGCGGCUGGAGGAGAGAGUCAGAGCCCACAUUGUCUCCCCAGCAACACCCCUGAAGAAAGGUGGUUUCUUCCUCCUAACAGCCCUAGGAGCUGGGGCGGGGUGGAAGGGAGGAGGGGGGACAGACUAUCUGUCUCGGGGCGCCUGUGACCCGACGAGAGCUGAUGAAGUUGGCCUGCCUGAGGAAAGAAUCUCCUGUUUUGAUUCACUCUUUAUCCAUCUAAGGCAGCAAAGGAAGAGCCUUAUAAUGCUCCGUUCGGGUAUUUGCCAGACACCUUAGACAGACACGUGUUCAUUCCUGACUGGGCUGAUGUCGCCGCCUUCCAGCCUCAGAACGGGGAGGGAGCUGAUGUGCAGAUCAGGUGCGUCUGAAUAAGACAGGAACCGUGCCGGGCUCAGCCUCUGACAAUUUACCUGGAACCCUUAG